UGUUCACCCCCCACACCCGCUUGGCCCCUGCCCAGGCCAGGCCUGGGUGUGAGCUGCACACUGGGGAUUUGGAUUCUGAAUUUAUUCUAAAUAUUCUGAUUACCAAUCUUGAGUGUUUCCAAGCUAAGAUUCCAAAGAACGGCUUUUCCUUGUGGUUGGUUCUUUUCGAUUAGGGAAUAGGAGAGGCCCUGUAACCUUAUAGAACUGGGGAAGGAGGAGGAAAAAUCGCUAUCCUGAGAGAAUCCCCUAAAAGGAUGGCUGUGAAGGGAAUCCUGGGCUGAAAAUCUGCACAGCAGUGCAGCGUUCCUUUUGGCAACCAAAAUUUGCCCUGGUUCUAUGUGCCCUCAUCCAUUCUGGAAACCUGUAGAAGUGGGUUUCUGGUCUCCUUUGGGGGCACGAGGGUGGGAGGGGGCUGGUUCCCCAGAAGGACAGCAGGCCUGAGGAUCCUGGAACAAUAGGCAAUCCCAAACUAGGCCUGGGAGGGAGGAAAGGAGAGCAGAGCAGGUAGCGGGACUCAUGCUGGGGCUGGGGGAGUAUUACUAACAGAGGCCAACCUUGGCUUAUGACCCCCAGUUGACAGGGGUCAACUCUAGGUCAUUCCCAGGGCCCUGACUUCCCACCAGGAAGGCUCUGUUUACAGGUUGAUUGACAAGUCGUUGACAGACCCAGAGAUCCCCAUGAUUCUUAAAAACAACAUCAAUGUACUUAGCUCCAGGGCUUCAGCCCUUUUCCACCUGGCCCCAGCCCAUCCCAGUAUGUUCGCCAUAAUUUUUGGCACCUCUAUCCCCCACCCCAUGCCUCAUCACCCAGGGCCAUCAGAGAGACUCAGAAGUCACUGCUCUUGGACCAGAAGGCAGUCACAUAAGCUGAGGCCUCGGACCCACUAAGUCGCUCCUGCUCCAGUUCCGGUGCGAAGGCAGGAAUGCGAAGAAGUGCUGGAAGGUGGCUCUGGAAUGUUCAGCGCUGGCUGGAGCUUCUGGUCCAAGGGCCUUGAAGCCUGGAACGGAGGAUAUGAAGGCAGGGAGGAUGCUGAGGUCGUCCGCUGUCCCGUCUCCUGGUUUUCCCGGGCCCACCCCUUCCGCCUACACUUUCUCUGCGGGGCCCAUUCACUUUGGGCAUCUCUGCGCCUGCCAGGUGCGCUCCUGGCUACUCGCAGCAAGUGCAGAACAGGAGGCCGGGACCUCGGGGGCGGGUCCAGGUGGUUGCCCGGGGCCGCGGGAAGUCCCGGGUGCCCCGGGCCCACGGCUGCUCCUCCGGGAGGCCCGCAAGCUCCGGACGCCGGCCAGGCAGCUCCCCUCCCCUCCGAGAUGCCCAAGCCGCUACCGGCAGCCGCUCCCAGCGCGCCCCAGGGCCCCGCGCGCUCCAGCAGGGAACUCGGAUUUGUACUGGAAUUUGGUUUAAGUUUUCCAAGAGGACUGCCCUGGCCGUCGUGGAGCUCUCGGAACUUGAAAACUACCUGCUUGGCUGCGCCCCGCCCCAAGUGGGCUCCUGGAGGGAGGGAGCGGGACUCAGCCCUAAAAGGCUGCGCCCCUCACCUUGGGAUCCCCACCUCACCCUCGAGCUGCCCCAGGCACCUUCUGGAACUAAGAUCGUCAGCUCCAGGUAUCCAAGGGAAUCCUCUACAUCAGUGAUGUGAACAAAUCCUGUUGCCUGAAGUCAAAGAGAUGUUCCUGAUAUUGGCUAAGACCCAUCCGGAUGCAACCAAGCCUUACAGAGCUGCCUCGGGGCAGGGCAGGUGGGAUCCGUACACAGGGGGAGGCCUGUUUGUAGCUCUCCUGUCACCUAGGGGAGCUUUCCUGAUGGAACUUAUAUAAACAGCACUUCUCUGGUUCUAAGUCCCCAUCAGUGUUUUUUUUUUUUCUUUUACCCCUAGUCUUAAAUUAGCUGAGUGGACAUGUUUUAUUCUGACUGUAUCUAUGCUGACGUGAACUCAAACAAAUGAAAGAAAGGCUUUACUAUGUUAUGAACUGAAAUAGAAACAGAAAACAUGGUAAAAGGACUCAGAAAUCUUGUUAAUAUUUUGUAUAACUUGUCGUCCCACGUUGCCCGUAAUCAUCCAGAAAUAAAAUGCAAGCAUGGUUUCCCGAUGCCCAGUGUCAACGUGGGUGCCUUAGUACAGCUGUUUCAUUCAAACACAGAAUUAAAGAUGUCGUGGCCGUGCUUCCCUUGCAGAGAUCAUCAAAAUAUUUGAACAAAAGUGGUGAAUCAGGUGUUCUCAUGCAAAUGACAUGUGAAAACAUAGACUGUAAGUUUGAAUUUCUUGGUGCCUCCAUUCGAGAACAGUGGGUGGUCUUGUCUCUGUCUUCACUGCAGACCCCUCAAGGCUUCUAAAUACUCAGUUUUUAGAGUAACUGCCCCAUCCUGGAAGACAGCAAGGAGUAGAGUGCUGUCUGGCAUGCAGAUUUGGAGAGCGGACCAAUCCAUCACAAGUUCCAUGAGUAUGUCUUAACCAAAUUACAUCACUGUAUGUGUUGGCACUGAGAAAAUAAGGGAAAAUAAUUCUGCUUAAAGUGUUUUAUUACUGGGACUUACCUAAUUGCUGUUGUUGUGUGUUUAUUUAGAGUCUGCUCCCACCCAACCAAACCCCCUUUCCAUACAAGGCUGCCUACUGUUUCCUUUCCGUGGGCACUGGUCCACUACUGAGCGGAUUUCAUCAAUUAAUUAUAGCAGAGCAGGUACUGGGCAACUGGUUGAAUGGUGCCAUAUGAAAUCACAUUGUAUUUUCAGUUAACUUUAGGACGCUCUUGAAGGGGCUGCCUUACAGAAAGAAACGUUAUGCAUUUGGGGGAAAAAAAGGAGGAAGGAAUUUUUGUACAAGUACAGCACUCGUUACUUAAAACAAAAUGAUGCUUCUGUAAAGAGCUUUCGUUCUAAAAGCACACUCUCAGGCACCUGCCAAAAUCUCAGAUUUACUGCUGCCGUUCACAGAUGCCAAUGUUGAAACUCCCUUCGCCUGCCGCGUGCUGUCUUUGAUUUCCCCGAUCCAAAUAUUACUGUAAAGUUGUUGUUUCAUGUCUGCAUUUUUUUUUCUUUUUUUGCUUUUCCUGGCACCUAAUGAAAUUAUCAGCAAUAAAUGAGCUACGCAGAAGG